GUCUAGGUACGAGCACUGGGGCUCUUCCAUCCUGGGGGCCUGGUUUUGCAGUUGGUUAUUGAUAUUUCUCCUGGCAAUCUUGAUUCCUGUUUGUGCUUCAUCCAGCCCAGCGUUUCUCAUCAUCUACUCUGCAUAUAACUUACAUGCAGAGUACAUUUAAGAGGUAAGUAAACUUAAAUCUUUCCCUUCUGCCUGCAAUGCGAGAGACCCUGGUUCAGUCCCCCAGUCGAGAAGAUCCCCUGGGGAAGGAAAUGGCAACCUACUCCAGUAUUCUUGCCUGGAGAAUCCUAUGGACAGAGGAACCUGGUAGGUUAUAAUCCAUGGGGUCUCAGAGUCAGACAUGACUGAGUGACUUCACAUUUUCUUUAAACUUAAAUCUAUUAACAAAGGCAGUUCAACGUCUGAAGAAAGUGUGUCCUCUUAAUGGAGAGAAAAACCAAAUUCAAGUUUUGUACCAGCUCACUUUAAAAUUCAUCACCUCAUUCGAAGAGUUGACUCACUGGAAAAAAACCCUGAUGCUGGGAGGGAUUGGGGGCAGGAGGAAGAAGGGGACAACAGAGGAUGAGAUGGCUGGAUGGCAUCACCAACUCGAUGGACAUGAGUUUGGGUAAACUCUGGGAGUUGGUGAUGGACAGGGAGGCCUGGCGUGCUGUGAUUCAUGGGGUUGCAAAGAGUCAGACAUGACUGAGCGACUGAACUGAACUGGACUGAAAGGUAAACUUAAUUAAAUUUACUUCAGACUUAGUCCGUCCUAACCAUGCACAACGGAGAAGGCAAUGGCACCCCACUCCAGUACUCUUGCCUGGAAAAUUCCAUGGAUGGAGGAGCCUGGUAGGCUGCAGUCCAUGGGGUUGCUGAGGGUUGGACACAACUGAGCGACUUCACUUUGACUUUUCACUUUCAUGCAUUGGAGAAGGAAAUGGCAACCCACUCCAGUGUUCUUGCCUGGAGAAUCCCAGGGACGGGGGAGCCUGGUGGGCUGCCGUCUAUGGGGUCGCACAGAGUCGGACACGAUUGAAGCGACUUAGCAGCAACCAUGCACAAAACUCUUUUUUCAGGGUCCACUUUCCACAAACCUCAUCACUUUCUGUACCCAUCUUGAAACAGCCACUGUAAGUCAGAGCUCCUUUCUUUUCCCUUCAUAAAAUGGAAUUCCAUUUCUCAUAACUUCUUUACUGAAAACACACAUCUUACUUUCCCUAAGCAACCAAGAACUGACCUUUAUAUUAGCAUUCAAUAGAAUGGUGAGAUAAAUACCAGUGAUAAUUUCUAAAAACAUUUGCUUUCUUAUAAAGAACAUCUCAGGUGAU
ensembl:lncRNA